rnacentral:sRNA from 1 species
CACACUAAAUCAAUGUGGGAGGCUACCCGGUCCUUUGAGGACUCAUGGAUAGAGGGAGUGUCAGAGCUCGGGCACAGGCUCAUUUGGUCAAAUGUAUUUAAGUAUUUUAAUAAUUCAUGUGCCAAUUCCCAUACUCAGCCCACUUGCUACGGGAUCCCAGGGACACUUAAAAGCUUUCUGAUCCCUCAGCCUUAUCCAGCAUCUUCCUAAAAGGUUCUCGACUGGCCUCUCAACAGCCACAGCUCCGGUGCUUAUGAAGAAGAACGAACAGUUCCAGCUGGUUGUCAUUGAAAAGUCACUUAAUAUUCUCAGAACGAGAAGCCGGACCUAAUGGGACACGGUGGUAUUUUUUUUCCCUAAGCAUUUGGGGGGAGAAAAACCAUCGACAUCAUAUUAAUAAUGUCAAGUUUUAUUGGCUCUCUCAUUUGACACAAUAUUAAACUUUUCAGACUCCGUCUCAAAGAGGUACAGCUUGUUAAAAUGUGGGAAGACUGGGACUUUAUAGAAGGGUGACGAGGAAAGAGUAUCUUCUGAGUUCCUGACCCCACAGAGGCCUCAUCACAUGUACAACUGAGCAGGAGGUCCUCCACAACCUGGGGGGGAGUAGCGGCGAGGGCGACAUCUGUGGCUGUGGGAGCUACCCUCUGGCUACACCAAACAGCCCCCUCCUCUUUCUAUUCAGUAUCCAGAACAGCCAAUUUAGCAGGCAGCCAUCCGCUCCAGCGGAAGUCCCUGGGAUCAGUGGCUAUAGGGAAUGGCCCAGGCAGAAGGAGGAAUCAAAGAUGAAACAGGCAUUUGGAUCCUGCUGAAGCUGAAGCUGGGCACCCUCCAUGCAUUAUUCAUGGGUGACACCGUUGUCACCCUUUCUCUCCUCUCUCCACUGAGCUACAACAGAGUCCUGAAUACAACUGGCUUUGAAACCCUGCUCUACGACAUGCAUCGAUCCUCAGCCCCCGCACAGGCCAGAGCAGAGCAGACAGGGCCAUGUUCUGGCCUGGCUCAGGGACACCACAGGGCAAGCCAGGUGAGCAGGACCUUCCACCGCUCUCUUUGGACCAGACACUGCACGCAGUAAGGGAUGACUCUCAUUAAGUGUGUGCACUUGACACUCGGAGCAAAUGUUGAGAACCCUAAGCAAGCAAUUGCCUCUUUUCCACAGUUUUGAAUAAUGAAUUAUUGACCUUGGGCAAGUCAUUAGAUUUGUGUACGCUUUCCCGCGGCAUCUCUACAACUCAGAGUUCAUCGUGGCUUCUGUACCUGGUGCAAUAAAGAAGGAGUUAGUCAAUCCACAGCAAAAUGCUUUGCAACCUGUAAAAGGCUCCAUUCGUUACAAACGCAACAAAGAGAGGCUGGGGCCAUGGACAUUCACAGUGCGCUGGCAGUACAUUCUGGACACUUGUUUGUUUCAUCCUUAGGGAAAUCCCAAUGAGGUCAGGGCUACUAUUUAAGGAUGAAAUCUUGGAGGCACAGAGAGGUGAAGAAGAGCUGGGAUUCCAAACCAGGUGUGUCUCUUCCUUCCUACCCCUCAGAUACCACAGGGAGCUCUGCUGAUUUCGUACAGAGAUACGAGAGUUGACUUGCUAGUGUCCCUCAAAGUGUCACUCCUAGGAGAUGCUCCUGGGCUUGUAGGCAGGUAGCUGCCCCAGAGGCCCCUCUACUCC